rnacentral:rRNA from 1 species
UACAGAGGUCUCAAGCGUUGUUCGGAUUCAUUGGGCGUAAAGGGUGCGUAGGUGGCGGGGUAAGUCAGGUGUGAAAUUUCGGAGCUUAACUCCGAAACUGCAUUUGAUACUGCCUUGCUUGAGGACUGGAGAGGAGAUUGGAAUUCACGGUGUAGCAGUGAAAUGCGUAGAUAUCGUGAGGAAGACCAGUGGCGAAGGCGGUCUCGUGGACAGUUCCUGACACUGAGGCACGAAGGCCAGGGGGGAGCAAACGGG